GGGGGCGGGGCCAGAGCCUCAAGUGGGCGGGAGAAAAGCGGACACAUGUCUCAGGGGAGGGGCCUAUGUGAAAAAGCAGUUUGAGACAGAGAACCAGGAAAAGCCAGGGAAUCUAGCCUGAGGUUUCUCCAUGUGGAACUCCUCAUAUUCCUCUGGUACCUAACGAGAACUUUACUUUAAAACAUCACCCAUAUCAUUUUAUCAUCUUACAUUUGGGGAUGUAUACUCUAUGCAGCCUCUGAAGCUGAGAUGCGCCCAGUAUGGAUGAAUUCUCUGCUUUAUGUUAAUUUUAGCCUGACAACACCAAGAAAGAGUUCUUCGCCAGCCAGCCACUAUUGUCCAAAGGUGGAAGCAUCAAUUGCAGGAAAUAGAGAAAAUUUGAAAGGCAGUCCCCAGUCAGAUGACCAGACCCCUGAAUUCUCUCAAUAAACUUCUGAAAUUCCUUGCCUUUUUACUCUACCGUCUCACCACUUAGUCCCUUUUAACAACAAACUUGGCUUAAAGACACAGCUGCUAGAACACGAGUUACAGCACAAACUACGUGAACUUCAUGAAUCCGGAGCUGCAGUACAAGCCGGACCAUUAGACUUUUCUCUGCAUGACCUGAACCCAGGAGAUAAAGUUUAUAUCAAGAAUUUCAAGUGAACUGGAGCAACUCAACCUUCAUGGGAAGGACCAUUCCAAAUAUUAUUAACUACUCCAACAUCUAUAAAGAUUGGAGAAAGAGACUCUUGGAUUCACUGCCCACAUGUGAAGAAAGCAUCUUCUGCUGAGACUGAUUGACUCUAUCCUAUCAUAUGAAUUGUGACUCUAUCUUAUCAUAUGAAUUGGAGAUAAUAAUCCAUAGACAGAUGGAUGCUGUUUUUUCAAGAACACAUUGAAUUACUGAUUUUUUUCUUAUUUUUCUUAUUUCUUUUCUUUUCUUUUCUUUUUGAUCAGAAUAUUUGAAUUUUUUCUCAUUUUUUGCACUGAAGGUACACAUAAUUAAUAUUAAUAUUAUUUUUCCCUGAAGUAAUACAAGUUAAUAUAUAUAUAUAUAUACUCUUGCUAUAAUAUCAAUAUAUGCCUAAAAGCUUUAAACUAUGGGAACCUGCCAUUUAUUGAUAAAAUAUUAUAGGACUGUGAUUAAUGUUUGUGUCUGAUUCCAGGAAAAGGGAUAAAAACAAGGAGAACAGACUAAACCUGAAUAGUGCCAAUAGAGCACACAAGAAAUAUUAAAGUGAGACUCGAAGUUGCGAUGCUUAACUUAUGUUUAAGUCGUAGGACUUCCUUGUAUCUACACUCUUUGUGAAGUACUCAAACAAGUACAAAGCUUGAUUAUCAUGUUGGCUCCCUAUAUCCCUGAAAAAAAAAAUCAGACGAGGGAAUGACAUUUCCCCAUCAAAAUAGAAUUCUAAUUCUUUUCUUCUUAUAUUAUGGCAACUUCCUGUAGUCUUGGCUACAACUGGCUAAGUGAAAUAUUACUGCAUUCUGUCCUACAUACUUGUGGGAUAGAAAUUACUUUAAACUGGACCUAUACAAGGCCUAUUUUGAAUUUUUCUUAUGUUUUUGAUUAUUUUUCUAUUCUUUGAUAAUUGACACAUACACCCCCAUAACUGAACAUUGCAUUCUGAGCUAAACUUGAUAUUUUUUUUAAAUACUUACUUCAGGGGGGAUUGUAUUUUAAUUUAAAAUCUAAGAAUUUUUUUUUAUUUUUGAAUUUUUGUUUGUUUGUUUGAGAUUGUAUUUUUAUAAAAACCCAAGAAUUUUGAUUUUUGUUUAAGAUUUUACUGUUGUAAAAAUCAAAGAUUUUGAUUCUGUUCAAGAAAAGAUCUUCAAGAAAAAAUCUUGAAAUUUUUAUAUCCAGAGAAUGAACUGUUGCAGAAAGAUGCCGAAAACCUACACUUCAUCAAGAAGAUCAGGAAUGAACUUUGGAUGUAAUUGAUUGGACUGAACUUUUGAUUGAACAUUUAUUGUAAUUGUACACAUUUAUGGCAAAAGGGACUGCCCCUAAUUUGGCUUUCUGUCAAUGCGCCUAGCAAAACAUUGGUUUUGCUUUCUUUUCUUUUCUAUUUCCUCUCUCACUAUUCUAAUUUCUCUUAGAAAAUUGGAUAUUGUGUAUAUCUAUAGUUAGAAGUGCAUUUAGAACUACAAAAUGAUUAUGUUAAAUGAUCAAUGGGGAGACUGGUCUCCCAAUGAUCAUCAGGGGGGAUUGUAAACCUUAAAAUUUCUUAGACUUGUGAAUGUUGGAAAUUUCACCAUUGGAAUGUGAACCCCAUUGGCAAGGGAGGUUCCUCCUCCUCCCUUCUUAAGAUUACGUUAGGACAGAAACCUUUUGCUGAACAACGGAAAGGGCUGCAGCAUAGAUCAAAAUUUAAUUAUUCCAAUCUCCACCCUACUCAGGGUAACAGGAUUUAGGAAGGGCUGUAGCAAAAGAUCAAGAUUUAAUUAUUUGAGAAUAUGACCUUCAACAGACAUGUGCAAAGCCACAGACCUCUGGGUGUUCCUGGGUUAAGCUAGAGCCACCAUUGGCACAGGGAAGACAUGGACAGUGAUUGGUAGAUGUGAGAACUGAGGGGAGGGAACUUGGAUGGUUUCCUUAAAGAUAGCGGGGUCUGAGGACUAGGUGUUGUUGGUUGGAGAGGUUUUGCUCUGAGAGGUUGUGCUCUGAGAAGCUUGCUCUGAAGGAAGCUGGAGGUGGAGGCCCCUGAGACUGUUUCUCCAUUUUGGUCAUGUGAGUGAUAGGGACUGAUCUCUUUUCUUUGCCUCAGCUAUCUAAGGGCUUGGGCCUUUUGGCCCAGCCUAAACAGAAGGGGUAUUUAAGCCCUAUUCCCUUCUCUCCCCUUUCUCUCUCCCUCUCUCUCUCUCUCUAUCUCUAAUACCUUUCUUCCUCCUGUUUGUAAUUAAACUCCAUAAAAAGUUGACUGCUGACUUGAGUUUUCAUUUAGGAAUUACAUAGCUGAAUUCCUUGGCGACCUUAAA